rnacentral:rRNA from 1 species
GUGGAUUAGAUACCCUAGUAGUCCACACCGUAAACGUUGGGCGCUAGGUGUGGGGCCUAUUCCAUGGGUUCCGUGCCGCAGCUAACGCAUUAAGCGCCCCGCCUGGGGAGUACGGCCGCAAGGCUAAAACUCAAAGGAAUUGACGGGGGCCCGCACAAGCGGCGGAGCAUGCGGAUUAAUUCGAUGCAACGCGAAGAACCUUACCUGGGUUUGACAUACACCGGAAAGCUGCAGAGAUGUAGCCCCUUUUAGUCGGUGUACAGGUGGUGCACGGCUGUCGCCAGCU